GAUGAAGAACGUAGCGAAAUGCGAUAAGUAAUGCGAAUUGCAGAAUUCCAGUGAGUCAUCGAAUCUUUGAACGCACAUUGCGCCCUUUGGUAUUCCGAAGGGCAUGCCUGUUCGAGCGUCAUUAUCACCCCUCAAGCCCUCGGCUUGGUGUUGGACGGUUUGGUGGAGGCCCCCUCGGGGGUUCCUGCCCCUCCCAAAGACAAUGACGGCGGCCUCGUUGGACCCCCGGUACACUGAGUUCUUCACGGGACACGUAUCGGACACCUGGGUUUACGGGACACGGUCUGCCUCCCCUCAGGGAGAAUCUUUCUAAGGUUGACCUCGGAUCAGGUAGGGAUACCCGCUGAACUUAAGCAUAUCAAUAAGCGGAGGA
rnacentral:misc_RNA from 1 species